GAUAAGAGCGUCUGCUAAAUGACGUAAAUGUAAAUGGAGUCAGUUUUAAGGGAAUUAGGCACAGUGCCUGAAUUAAGAAAGGGAUUUAUGAUUGUAUGAGUCCUGUGGGAAAAGGGUCCAAGGCGCAGGUAGUUGACCUCAUAUUAUGGACCAUUUCAGAGACAGAUUUUGGGGUUGUCAAUGAGAAUGUGGCGAAACUGCAGCUGGGAGGCUCAGUGUGAAGCAGAGACAGAGGUCUGAAUCAAGGGGUAGAUUGUACAGUGAAGUAAAUGCUCUUUAUUUCAGAUUUGGGGAUUUGAAAAAAUGCAAUGAAAAUGGUACUUUAUUCAAUGGAGUGGGUAAAGGAGGAGUUAUCGAGUGGUUGAACUAAUUUCUUUACUACAGAAAAUGUAAUUCUGGUGUUCCCGUCACCAUUUGCAAUGAGAUUGGUAAAGUAUAACUUGUGUGCAGUGUUCAGUGCCUCUUUGUAUGCAGUCUGUUGAUAUACCAGGGCCUGAGGAUGAACAGUUAUCUUUGUUGUCCUUGAGCUACUCUGCAGUUUGCUCCCAGCAGCUUUCAUAGAACGUAGAUCACUGUUAAACUUGGCAGCAGAGCGUUUGUUUGACGGAAUUAAUGACAUUGCCUUAAAUGCAGUGUUAGAUGUAAAGUUUAAAUUCUCAUUCAUUACAAAUCUUCACUAAUCAAUCAACACAUGCUUUCCUUUGGACGUAUCAAUAUAAUAUUAUUAUUUAAUGAAAUACAUUUUAAAAAUACCCUUUUUUGUCAGGAAAUAAAAUAAACAUUUCCUUAUAUUGCGUUACACACUCCAGUCAGCUGAUGAGGAUGCUGCCAGUGUGACGUAUAAUCUAGUGGACGGGACACUUCGACAACAACAGCGAGUCAGUCACUUCAGUAGCUUGCUAGGCGAUAUAGCCUAAACGUUCAAGCUUUUUAGACUGUUUCAGUGCAUACUUGCCUAUGUGUUUGAAACAUACUUCUGUUUUAUAGCUAGCUGCCCCAUUUAUUUUCAUAUUUACGUUGUUAGUCAGGCAGAUGUCUUAAAUUUGCCUAGCGCUAGGCUAGCUAGCUAACAUCUCCGACCAUGAGUUCACUAAGCUACUCUCCUCCUGAUAAAGAAGAUGAGGUCUGCUGGACUGAGAAAGAAGCUCUGGGUCUGAACGUUUUCGUGAAAGAUGAGGAGGAUGUCACAGUAAAAAAGAAGUAGAGGGUGAGGCUGUUACUGUGAAAGAAGAAGAGAAAGACGUUACAGUGAAAGAAGAGGAAGACGCGUUCAGAGUGAAAGAAGGAAGAUUUUACAGUAAAAGAAGAGGAAGUGAAAGAGGAGGAUGCCGUUUUUGGAGUGGAGGAGGAGGGGGAGAUAACUGUCACAUUGAAGGAGGAGAAGGAAGAACAGGAGGAGGAGACAGGCGAUCUGAUUAAAACUAAAACCCGUGGGGGGAAGUGAACACCCAGACAGUGGACAUCUUUGAAAACAAAACCAGGAAAGUACUUCAUCGUUACCCAGAAAGGAUUUCAUGUUGAGAUUAAAAACGGCUGCAUUGGCCCUUUAAUGAGAGAGACCAGACUUUGACAGCGGGAAGAGUUCCUCAGAGGAAACAGACCCAGAGACGCCUAACCAACACCACUGCUCCCACUGUGGAAAGAGUUUUAGGUGGUUAUGGGUCCUGAAAAAGCAUGAGAGAAAACACACAGAAGAAAAGCCUUUCCAACAUACUAAUACACAGGAGGAGAAGACACACCACUGCUCUCAUUGUGAAAAUACAUUUACCCAGUCAGAGGACCUGAAAUCACACGAGAGAAUAGAGAGGCUGUGUUCUGACUUGUGUUUUUGACUGAGAAUUUGUGAUUUUGUUUGGACUGUCAGACUUGAGUUCACUUUGUGUAAUGUUAGUGCACUAUUUUUUUAAUGAGAUUAAUCCAUUGUCUGAAAGCAUUGAAAAUACACUGAAAACAUCCAAAAUACAUACUAUAUACUGCUAAAAUCUACAAUGCCAUGUAAAAACAAGAUGACAUUGAGGUUAAAUAAAGUGUACUUCACCAAUGUAA